ensembl:rRNA 5S_rRNA 5S ribosomal RNA
UGCCACAGCCAUAUCACCCUGCAGCCCAAGACUGGUUGCCCACUGAAGCUAAGCAGGGUUGAGCCUGGUCAGUACCUGGAUGGGAGACCUCCUGGGAAAACUAGGUUGCUGUUGGAA